GAUGAACGCUGGCGGCGUGCCUAAUACAUGCAAGUCGAGCGAACGGACGAGAAGCUUGCUUCUCUGAUGUUAGCGGCGGACGGGUGAGUAACACGUGGAUAACCUACCUAUAAGACUGGGAUAACUUCGGGAAACCGGAGCUAAUACCGGAUAAUAUUUUGAACCGCAUGGUUCAAAAGUGAAAGACGGUCUUGCUGUCACUUAUAGAUGGAUCCGCGCUGCAUUAGCUAGUUGGUAAGGUAACGGCUUACCAAUGCAACGAUGCAUAGCCGACCUGAGAGGGUGAUCGGCCACACUGGAACUGAGACACGGUCCAGACUCCUACGGGAGGCAGCAGUAGGGAAUCUUCCGCAAUGGGCGAAAGCCUGACGGAGCAACGCCGCGUGAGUGAUGAAGGUCUUCGGAUCGUAAAACUCUGUUAUUAGGGAAGAACAUAUGUGUAAGUAACUGUGCACAUCUUGACGGUACCUAAGCAGAAAGCCACGGCUAACUACGU
rnacentral:rRNA from 1 species